AGGUUUGAUCAUGGCUCAGAAUGAACGCUGGCGGCAGGCCUAACACAUGCAAGUCGAACGGGUCCUUCGGGACUAGUGGCGGACGGGUGAGUAACGCGUGGGAACAUACCCUUUGGUACGGAAUAGCCUCGGGAAACUGGGAGUAAUACCGUAUGUGGUCGAGAGACGAAAGAUUUAUCGCCAAAGGAUUGGCCCGCGUUGGAUUAGGUAGUUGGUGGGGUAAUGGCCUACCAAGCCGACGAUCCAUAGCUGGUUUGAGAGGAUGAUCAGCCACACUGGGACUGAGACACGGCCCAAACUCCUACGGGAGGCAGCAGUGGGGAAUCUUAGACAAUGGGGGAAACCCUGAUCUAGCCAUGCCGCGUGAUCGAUGAAGGCCUUAGGGUUGUAAAGAUCUUUCAGGUGGGAAGAUAAUGACUGUACCACCAGAAGAAGCCCCGGCUAACUCCGUG
rnacentral:rRNA from 1 species